AGUUGCGCCCGAGGCCUUCCGGCCGAGGGCACGCCUGCCUGGGCGUCACGCACCGCGCUGCCCGCACCCAACCCCGGGUGAGGGCGGAGAUUGGCCAACCGUGCUCCUCGGGGCGCGGCGGGCUGAAAGCUGUAUCUCGAUUGCCCCCGGCGGGGCGUCGGCACGGCGUUGGGUGGUCACCAGGGCUCCACGAGCCGAUGCGAUCGGACGCUGCGCACGUCGCCUCCCGGGGCGCCAAGGCACCCCAGAUUGCGACGCGACCCCAGGUCAGGCGGGGGCACCCGCCGAGUUUAAGCAUAUAAAUAAGCGGAGGAAAAGAAACUUACGAGGAUUCCCCUAGUAACGGCGAGCGAACCGGGAAGUGCCC
rnacentral:rRNA from 1 species